rnacentral:rRNA from 1 species
CACGUAGGGGACGAGCGUUGUCCGGAUUCAUUGGGCGUAAAGCGCACGUAGGCGGAUUGCUAAGUCAGGGGUGAAAUCCUGGAGCUCAACUCCAGAACUGCCUUUGAUACUGGCGAUCUUGAGUCCGGGAGAGGUGAGUGGAACUGCGAGUGUAGAGGUGAAAUUCGUAGAUAUUCGCAAGAACACCAGUGGCGAAGGCGGCUCACUGGCCCGGUACUGACGCUGAGGUGCGAAAGCGUGGGGAGCAAACAGG